CUCUCUGAACAAUGAAUGUAA
rnacentral:miRNA from 8 species